rnacentral:rRNA from 1 species
AGUGAACGCUGGCGGUAGGCCUAACACAUGCAAGUCGAACGGCAGCACAGUAAGAGCUUGCUCUUACGGGUGGCGAGUGGCGGACGGGUGGGGAAUACAUCGGAAUCUACUUUUUCGUGGGGGAUAACGUAGGGAAACUUACGCUAAUACCGCAUACGACCUACGGGUGAAAGCAGGGGAUCUUCGGACCUUGCGCGAUUGAAUGAGCCGAUGUCGGAUUGGCUAGUUGGCGGGGUAAAGGCCCACCAAGGCGACGAUCCGUAGCUGGUCUGAGAGGAUGAUCAGCCACACUGGAACUGAGACACGGUCCAGACUCCUACGGGAGGCAGCAGUGGGGAAUAUUGGACAAUGGGCGCAAGCCUGAUCCAGCCAUACCGCGUGGGUGAAGAAGGCCUUCGGGUUGUAAAGCCCUUUUGUUGGGAAAGAAAAGCAGCAGGUUAAUACCCCGCUGUUCUGACGGUACCCAAAGAAUAAGCACCGGCUAACUUCGUG